rnacentral:rRNA from 1 species
AGAGUUUGAUCCUGGCUCAGAUUGAACGCUGGCGGCAUGCUUUACACAUGCAAGUCGAACGGCAGCGGGGGCUUCGGCCUGCCGGCGAGUGGCGAACGGGUGAGUAAUGCAUCGGAACGUACCCAGUCGUGGGGGAUAACUACGCGAAAGCGUGGCUAAUACCGCAUACGCCCUGAGGGGGAAAGCGGGGGACCUUCGGGCCUCGCGCGAUUGGAGCGGCUGAUGUCGGAUUAGCUGGUUGGUGGGGUAAAGGCCUACCAAGGCGACGAUCCGUAGCGGGUCUGAGAGGAUGAUCCGCCACACUGGGACUGAGACACGGCCCAGACUCCUACGGGAGGCAGCAGUGGGGAAUUUUGGACAAUGGGGGCAACCCUGAUCCAGCCAUGCCGCGUGAGUGAAGAAGGCCUUCGGGUUGUAAAGCUCUUUCAGACGGAAAGAAAUCGCCAUUUUGAAUACGGAUGGUGGAUGACGGUACUGUCAGAAGAAGCACCGGCUAACUACGUGCCAGCAGCCGCGGUAAUACGUAGGGUGCGAGCGUUAAUCGGAAUUACUGGGCGUAAAGCGUGCGCAGGCGGUUGUGCAAGACAGGUGUGAAAUCCCCGGGCUCAACCUGGGAACUGCGCUUGUGACUGCACGGCUAGAGUACGGCAGAGGGGGGUGGAAUUCCUCGUGUAGCAGUGAAAUGCGUAGAGAUGUGGAGGAACACCGAUGGCGAAGGCAGCCCCCUGGGCCGAUACUGACGCUCAUGCACGAAAGCGUGGGGAGCAAACAGGAUUAAAUACCCUGGUAGUCCACGCCCUAAACGAUGUCCACUAAUUGUUCGGAGUGGUAACGCUUUGUGUAACGCAGCUAACGCGUGAAGUCGACCGCCUGGGGAGUACGGCCGCAAGGUUAAAACUCAAAUGAAUUGACGGGGACCCGCACAAGCGGUGGAUGAUGUGGAUUAAUUCGAUGCAACGAGAAAAACCUUACCUACCCUUGACAUGCCUGGAACCCUUGA